AUGGCUCCGCGUUCAGGUGCUCUUGCUCUCAAGGCGGCUGCCGUUGCUGCCGUUCUUGCCAUGCUGGUCGUGCCUUCCUUGGGGCGCUGUCGUCGCUCUCCGUCGCCAGCACCGCCACCGCCAACCCCCACAUCACCACCUCCGGCAACGUUGCCACCAACUCCGGCGCCGUCACCGGGACCGAUGUCAUGCAACGACUGUUAUUCGCAGUGCUACUUGUCCUGUGACGCCUCCAUUCCCUCGGAGUGCAGCAGAUACUGUGAUGUCCCAGGUUCCUGCAACCCCUGCAAGACCACGGCCAUCGAGGAAUGCAGGACCAGCAAAAACUGCACCGGCAGCUGCGACGAGUGCAACGACGCUCCCAACUUCAAAUGUGCCUUCGCUUGCACCACCCGAAACUGCAAUGGGUGUCAUUAUGCGGGAACCCAGAUGUGCCAGAAAACGUGCAGCGAGGAGUGUUCCGCGCCCAAAUGCGUACCCUAG
rnacentral:rRNA from 1 species